AACUUGACUGCUUAUUGCACCACAUGUGUUUUUCUUUGAAACAAACUUGCUUUGGCGGUGGGCCCAGCCUGCCGCCAGAGGUCUAAACUUACAACCAAUUUUUUAUUAACUUGUCACACCAGAUUAUUACUAAAUAGUCAAAACUUUCAACAACGGAUCUCUUGGUUCUCGCAUCGAUGAAGAACGCAGCGAAAUGCGAUACGUAAUAUGAAUUGCAGAUAUUCGUGAAUCAUCGAAUCUUUGAACGCACAUUGCGCCCUCUGGUAUUCCGGAGGGCAUGCCUGUUUGAGCGUCGUUUCUCCCUCAAACCGCUGGGUUUGGUGUUGAGCAAUACGACUUGGGUUUGCUUGAAAGACGGUAGUGGUAAGGCGGGAUCGCUUUGACAAUGGCUUAGGUCUAACCAAAAACAUUGCUUGCGGCGGUAACGUCUACCACGUAUAUCUUCAAACUUUGACCUCAAAUCAGGUAGGACUACCCGCUGAACUUAAGCAUAUCAAUAAGCGGAGGAA
rnacentral:rRNA from 1 species